GCCUCUGUAGCUCAAUGGUUAGAGCGAUAGUUUUGUAAACUAUAGGUUGGGGGUUCAAUUCCCUCCAGAGGCU
rnacentral:tRNA from 1 species